AGACAUUUCGCGCUCAUUCACUUCCGCCUCCCUCUCGGUCGCAACUGUUUUGCAUCUUGUUUCAUCGCGUUUCACGAUGCCCCGCUUCAACUACGAUUCCACCACGGCCGUCUGCAUCGCCACGGAUGACAAACGAUUUAUUAGUAAUAUCACUGUUUAUAUCUUAUCUGAAUAAGAUACUCAAUUAGACAUCAAGAUGACUGUCACUCGUACACUCAAAAGAUACUAAGAGUAAGUAUUAAAAAUAUUAAUAAAAUUAUUAUUUAAUUUAUAAAAAGACUAGCUUUUGCCCACGGCUUCACCGGCGUGAAAUUUUGUUUGUCACAGAUCGUCAUAAAUUAUAGCCUAUGUGUUAUUCUGGGUUAUAAACAAUAAUACUGUAAAGUUUCGUCAAAAUCCGUUCAGUAGUUUUUGCGUGAAAAAGUAACAGACAUCCAAAUUUUCGCAUUUCUAAUAUGUAUUAGUAUUU